CGGGGAGUAGAGAUCCGGCCGGUGCGUUCGGGACGCAGGGGUCGCAGGUUCGAAUCCUGCCACUCCGA
rnacentral:tRNA from 1 species